GACGAACGCUGGCGGCGUGCUUAACACAUGCAAGUCGAACGGAAAGGCCCUGCUUUUGUGGGGUGCUCGAGUGGCGAACGGGUGAGUAACACGUGAGUAACCUGCCCUUGACUUUGGGAUAACUUCAGGAAACUGGGGCUAAUACCGGAUAGGAGCUCCUGCUGCAUGGUGGGGGUUGGAAAGUUUCGGCGGUUGGGGAUGGACUCGCGGCUUAUCAGCUUGUUGGUGGGGUAGUGGCUUACCAAGGCUUUGACGGGUAGCCGGCCUGAGAGGGUGACCGGCCACAUUGGGACUGAGAUACGGCCCAGACUCCUACGGGAGGCAGCAGUGGGGAAUAUUGCACAAUGGGCGGAAGCCUGAUGCAGCAACGCCGCGUGCGGGAUGACGGCCUCCGGGUUGUAAACCGCUUUCGCCUGUGACGAAGCGUGAGUGACGGUAAUGGGUAAAGAGGCACCGUCUAACUACGUG
rnacentral:rRNA from 1 species